GUUAUUCCUAACUGUGCAAAGGUAGCAUAAUCAUUAGUCUUUUAAUUGAAGGCUGGUAUGAAUGGUUGAAUGAAAUAUUAACUGUUUCAAAUUAAUUUAANAUUGAAAUUUAUUUUUUAGUUAAAAAGCUAAAAUUUUUUUAAAAGACGAGAAGACCCUAUAAAUCUUUAUAUUUNUUAGUUAUUAUUAANUAUUUAGAAAAGUUAAUUUUUGAUAAAGAAAGAUAUUUUAUUGGGGUGAUGUUGAAAUUUAAUAAACUUUUAAUUAUAUAANAACAUUAAUUAUUGAAUUAUNUGAUCCAUUCNNUAGUGAUUAUAAAAUUAAGUUACUUUAGGGAUAACAGCNGUAAUUUUUUUAGAGAGUUCUUAUCGAUAAAAAAGGUUGCGACCUCGAUGUUGGAUUAAGAUAUAA
rnacentral:rRNA from 1 species